rnacentral:lncRNA from 1 species
CACCUCUCUCUCAGUAAUCUUACAAGAUUAUUGAUCAUAUUCUGUAUUUUCAAGGUGCUUAAUUUGGAGAAACUGUAUUAUCUCACAGAGAUCAUGAUGGUGAAGGAGGUGAGCUACAUGCACAACUGGGGUGAAGUUGCACCGACCCUUUUCAUAUCUCAUCAGAAAUCUUCGAAAUGUCCAGAGCUGGAGACAAUUGUUGAAGAAGCAGGACCAGUUGGAUCUCAGAUUAACGUUGAAAUUCUACCGUUUUCAAAGAGGGCGUUGUUUCUGGUUCCAGUGUUUGUUUCUUGUGUUUCUUAUUUCCUGUUGUACAGAUAUGAUGUUUGAUUGUUGACUGGUGUACAUGGAAUAGAUUUGAAAGAUCGAGGGUAGAUUCGUCUCAGAAGAUAUUUAGGAUUAAUUGCUAAUGGAUCCGGAUUAUGUAUCAUAGCAGAUUGAUUAAUUUCAUUGCAAUGUACAUGCUCAUGGCAUUCACAUUGGAAGUAUAAAGGCAGAUUCUUUGAAUUCAUGAAUUGAUAACAUUUUGCAUUUCAAUCUUAAAAUUUUGUUAUUGUAUAAAGUAUUGAUCGCAUGAUGACUGUAUGUCGUCUCGUCUUUUAACAUGACUUUACAUGGUCUUGCUCUUCGAUGAUAACUUUAUGUCGCCUCUCUAUUCAGCAACGAUCGGUGUAUAUGCUGAUUUGGAUAUGUUGAGUCUAUCGUGUUUAGUGACAGAUUUGCAUUGGUGUCAUUUGUAGUUUUGUGCGUGUGGUAGCCAUUUAGGGGUUUUACUCGUGUGUUUGUGCAAUCAAUUUAUUGGUUUAAUGGAAAACCACUUGUUUUCCUAUGUUUAGUAAAUCAGGCUUGGAAAAAAAAAACGUAAUUAAUGCCGAAAAAUGAGGUGGGAAAAUAAAACCCACGAGGGAUGGAGGGUUUGCAUAUUCCCCACUCUUUAUUCCCGUCAUUUAUUACGCACUUCGAACAUCAAUCACAUUUGUUUAGGACAAUAUUAUCCUCAUUAACUGUUGAAAAACCAAAUAUGCCCAUAAUUACUCUUCGUACUUUUCUUUUUCAAUUUUAUCCCUAGUACGAAAUAAAAAUACAAUUUUUUUUCCAGAAAAGAUAUGAGAAAUUAUUUUCCAUGUAUUCUUUUUCGCCUACCAAAUGCACCUUAAAGCAUUGAUGAAGAAAAAUAUAUCACUAAUGUAGUAUAUAUCCCAAGUCAUCAUUAUGGUUCGUUUCGUGUCUAGGAUUGAUUGGAUGGUAUAUAUGUCAUAAAAUUCAAUGUGUGAUGAAUAAAAAAAUGAAGAUAGAAGUGUACGAUUUUUAUUUUUCUGGGGGAUUAGAAGAAUUAAUUCUACUAUCUUAUGGGACUGAAAUGAAUGAAUUUUCCUCAUAGUAUUUUUAUUGUCACCUCACCUUAGGACAAAAAAUUUCUUCAUUUCCUUAAAGAAUCUAUUAAGUUAACCAAUUCAUUUAUGACCAGAAUAUUUGAAGGCUUUGAAAGGGGAGAGAGAUAAGAAAUAUUGUACCUUGUGGGAAGCCAAUUUCUUUUUUCAAUUAAUGGCACUAUUACAAAAAUAUUUGGCUAAAAACCAUUCCAUGCCUCACAUUGCAACAUAUUGUUUGUUUCAAUAUGUUUCUUCCUAAUACAUGACAUGCAUGCAUUUGCUAGAUAUCUCAUAUCUUCUACUUUUGCAUAAAAAAAGGCUUGGUGAGCACAUUAUCAGACUGAUCAAAAGAGACAAUGAAGUGAACGCGAUGGUUACCCAGCGCCACAUAUAUGCUUUCAUGCACCAAUAUAUAUAUAUGUCAAACCACAAAUUCAUUGAACAACAAGAUAUACAUAAAUCCAGAGAGGAACAAAGGAAGAGCAUAGAAGAACACCCCCUUCUGCACACCUUGGAAGCUCCCUUCCGACCCCUCUUCGAUUAUGGGCUCUAGUUUUGUAAAGCUGGAAGAUUUUCUGUUGUGGGAUGUCGAAAUGGCCGCCGGUGCAACCUCUCCCCAACUCUGCAUGCUUUUGAACCCCUUCCCCAUUUUAUUUCUCUCCAAACUCUUUGUAUAAAGAUUUAUUUUGAAGAUCACUUGCUAGUUCCUUCUUCUUCUUCGUCGUCUUCUUCUUUUUGGAAGAUUUUUCGGGUGAAGGGUUUUAAUUAAUUUAGGAGAAGAAUGAAGAGAGGUUUUGAAGGAACUAGCAAAUCAAUGGUGUGGGGAAUUGAUCGUCAAUAUUAUUGCGUUUUUCAAUUGGGAAUUAAUGGUAUAGAGUGACAUAGAUUAUAUAGGGCUCAAAGGAUGAUUAGGGUUCCAAAAAUAGGGAAAGGAAGGAUGGGUUUUGGAAACGUGAACCAACCAAUAUAUUGCAGGCAAAUCCAUGUUUGAACAUGUCUUAAAACGAAAUUUCAAAUGAUGGUUUUUUUUAGCCAAUGGAAUCCAUGAAACUUGUUAAAUGUUUUUGUUUAUUUUUUCAUUCAAAAGGAUAUCAAUUUUCAUAAAAUUAGGAAGGAUAAUAGAAAAUUCGUACAGUCGUUGUGAAGCCACAUAUUUAUACCACAUUGGUGCACUGCAUGAUAUGGCAAAUGAUUCCUACAAUCACUAGUCAAUGUGAUGAAUUCAUUAAUUGAUGUGUCAAGUAUACAUCAUCUGUCACACUAAAUGGUACACCAAUAUAUUAUCCGUAGCAUUUUCCAUAUAGGUUACUUAAAAAUAGAGACCAACUUGCAUUUCACCCAAAAUAAAUUUUCAUUCAUCUUAUAGUACAAGGAUACAGAGAAA